rnacentral:rRNA from 1 species
AUUGAACGCUGGCGGCAGGCCUAACACAUGCAAGUCGAACGAUCGGCGGACUGGUGAGUAAUGUCUGGGAAUCUGCCCGAUGGAGGGGGAUACCUACUGGAAACUGUUGCUAAUACCGCAUACUCUCGGAUGAGCCCAUAUGGGAUUAGCUAGUCGGUGGGGUAAAGGCUCACCUAGGCGACGAUCCCUAGCUGGUCUGAGAGGAUGACCAGCCACACUGGAACUGAGACACGGUCCAGACUCCUACGGGAGGCAGCAGUGGGGAAUAUUGCACAAUGGGCGCAAGCCUGAUGCAGCCAUGCCGCGUGUAUGAAGAAGGCCUUCGGGUUGUAAAGUACUUUCAGCGAGGAGGCGUUACUCGCAGAAGAAGCACCGGCUAACUCCGUGCCAGCAGCCGCGGUAAUAC